AUUAAGAGCGGAGGCGCAACCAAGAUUAGUAGCUUCUCUUAUUGAUGAGGCGGAAAAGAAGCGAAAGGCGAGGUUGCCGAAGGGGUAUAAAAGUAGCCUCAACUUUUAUAACCCCUGGGUAUGUAGGGAAUACCUACAUAACUGUCACGUUUUGUCCCAACGUGGAGAGCCGCUAAAAUA
rnacentral:ncRNA from 2 species